CAGUCGCACGAGAAGCGGAGCAAUCCGUGAGUAAAGUGGCGCACGGGUGAGUAACACGUGAAUAAUCUACCUCCGAGUGGGGAAUAACUGAGAGAAAUCUUAGCUAAUACCGCAUAGCACUUACGAGUCAAAGCAGCAAUGCGCUUGGAGAGGAGUUCGCGGCCGAUUAGUUAGUUGGCGGGGUAAUGGCCCACCAAGACGAUGAUCGGUAUCCGGCCUGAGAGGGCGCACGGACACACUGGAACUGAAACACGGUCCAGACUCCUACGGGAGGCAGCAGUGGGGAAUUUUGCGCAAUGGGGGAAACCCUGACGCAGCAACGCCGCGUGGAGGAUGAAAUAUCUUGGUAUGUAAACUCCUUUCGAUGGGGAAGAUAAUGACGGUACCCAUAGAAGAAGCCCCGGCUAACUUCGUGCCAGCAGCCGCGGUAAUACGAGGGGGGCAAGCGUUGUUCGGAUUUAUUGGGCGUAAAGGGUGCGUAGGCGGUUUGACAAGUCUUAUGUGAAAUCUAUGGGCUCAACCCAUAGUCUGCAUGAGAAACUGUCGGGCUUGAGUAUGGGAGAGGUGAGUGGAAUUUCCGGUGUAGCGGUGAAAUGCGUAGAUAUCGGAAGGAACACCUGUGGCGAAAGCGGCUCACUGGACCAUAACUGACGCUGAUGCACGAAAGCUAGGGGAGCAAACAGGAUUAGAUACCCUGGUAGUCCUAAGCCUUAACCGAUGAUUGUUGAAUGUGCAGGUACCAAUUCCUGCUUGUCAAAGCUAACGCGAUAA
rnacentral:rRNA from 1 species